rnacentral:rRNA from 1 species
GCGUAAUAGCUCACUGGUCGAGUCGGCCUGCGCGGAAGAUGUAACGGGGCUAAACCAUGCACCGAAGCUGCGGCAGCGACGCUAUGCGUUGUUGGGUAGGGGAGCGUUCUGUAAGCCUGCGAAGGUGUGCUGUGAGGCAUGCUGGAGGUAUCAGAAGUGCGAAUGCUGACAUAAGUAACGAUAAAGCGGGUGAAAAGCCCGCUCGCCGGAAGACCAAGGGUUCCUGUCCAACGUUAAUCGGGGCAGGGUGAGUCGACCCCUAAGGC